rnacentral:rRNA from 1 species
GCUACGGGAGGCAGCAGUGAGGAAUAUUGGUCAAUGGGCGGAAGCCUGAACCAGCCAAGUAGCGUGCAGGAUGACGGCCCUACGGGUUGUAAACUGCUUUUAUACGGGAAUAACGCGCCGUACGUGUAGGGCUUUGCAUGUACCGUAUGAAUAAGGACCGGCUAAGUCCGUGCCAGCAGCCGCGGUAAUACGGACGGUCCGGGCGUUCUCCGGAUUUAUUGGGGUUAAAGGGAGCGUAGGCCGCCUGUCAAGCGUGCGGGGAAAUGUCCGGGCUCCACCCGGGCCUUGCAGCGCGAACUGGCGUGCUUGAGUCCGCGGCAAGCAGGCGGAUUUCGUCGUGUAGCGGUGACUUGCUUAGAUAUGAC